rnacentral:rRNA from 1 species
UACAGAGGGUGCAAGCGUUGUUCGGAUUUACUGGGCGUACAGGGAGCGUAGGCGGUUGGAUAAGCCCUCCGUGAAAUCUCCAGGCUUAACCUGGAAAGUGCAGAGGGGACUGUUCAGCUAGAGGAUGGGAGAGGAGCGCGGAAUUCCCGGUGUAGCGGUGAAAUGCGUAGAGAUCGGGAGGAAGGCCGGUGGCGAAGGCGGCAUCCUGGACCGACAUUGACGCUGAUGAGCGAAAGCUAGGGGAGCAAACGGG